UGGGGAAUAUUGGACAAUGGGCGCAAGCCUGAUCCAGCCAUGCCGCGUGAGUGACGAAGGCCUUAGGGUUGUAAAGCUCUUUUUGGCGGGGAAGAUAAUGACGGUACCCGCAGAAUAAGCUCCGGCUAACUUCGUGCCAGCAGCCGCGGUAAUACGAAGGGAGCUAGCGUUGUUCGGAAUCACUGGGCGUAAAGCGCACGUAGGUGGGCAGUUAAGUCAGGGGUGAAAGCCCGAGGCUCAACCUCGGAAUUGCCUCUGAUACUGGCUGUCUAGAGUUCGAGAGAGGUGAGUGGAAUUCCUAGUGUAGAGGUGAAAUUCGUAGAUAUUAGGAAGAACACCGGUGGCGAAGGCGGCUCACUGGCUCGAUACUGACACUGAGGUGCGAAAGCGUGGGGAGCAAACAGGAUUAGAUACCCCAGUAGUCCCUGAGCGGGCUGGCAAGGCGCAU
rnacentral:rRNA from 1 species